rnacentral:rRNA from 1 species
CCUACGGGAGGCAGCAGUCGAGAAUCAUUCACAAUGGGGGAAACCCUGAUGGUGCGACGCCGCGUGGGGGAAUGAAGGUCUUCGGAUUGUAAACCCCUGUCAUGUGGGACCAAAUUAAAAAGAUAGUACCACAAGAUGUAGAGAUGGCUAACUCUGUACCAGCAGCCGCGGUAAUACAGAGGGCUCAAGCGUUGUUCGGAAUCACUGGGCGUAAAGCGUGCGUAGGCGGUUUCGUAAGUCGGGUGUGAAAGGCGCGGGCUCAACCCGCGGACGGCACAUGAUACUGGGAGACUAGAGUAAUGGAGGGGAAACCGGAAUUCUCGGUGUAGCAGUGAAAUGCGUAGAUAUCGGGAGGAACACUAGUGGCGAAGGCGAGUUCCUGGACAUUAACUGACGCUGAGGCACGAAGGCCAGGGGAGCGAAAGGGAUUAGAUACCCGAGUAGUC